rnacentral:misc_RNA from 1 species
UUAACUCUCUCCCUUGAGUAUGGGUAAUAAACAGAAUUCUUGAGAACUGAAUACAUUCUUCUAUCAGAUGAUCAGUAUGCAAAAAGAAUUUGUGAUAACAAAGAAUGAACUGACGAGGAAAUAGCUAAUAUGGACAAAAAUAUCAAAAGAGUUUGCUAGCGAAUUCAUCUACGUCAGUUCCAUCUAUAUGAGAAGAAGAAGAUUUUUGGGCAAGUUCUCUAAGCUUUGAUGAGCUUCUUCCAAGCUGCAAAGCCAUCUUCAUUUCAAACAUUUUUCCCAUCUUCUCUUCUCUCCAAAUCUGUUCUAGUGUAGACUCAAUUGUUUCCUCCAGAAGUGAAAAGAAUCCAACAUAGUACCUUUCAACCACCAUACCUACCUGGCCAGCAUGCUCAAAUGUAUUCUCUGUGGUAGCUAAUGCACCUGCUGCCACUACAACUAUUGCAGCCCAAGAACUGUUACCCACAAACGCAGACCCAGCAGCUGCAAUGCCAGUGAGCAAUGGUCCUGAGAUAGCUAAAAUCUUG